rnacentral:rRNA from 1 species
UACAGAGGGGCAAGAGUUGUUCGGAAUUACUGGGCGUAAAGGGCGCGUAGGCGGCCUUCUAAGUCGAACGUGAAAUCCCCGGGCUCAACCCGGGAACUGCGUCCGAUACUGGAAGGCUUGAAUCCGGGAGAGGGAUGUGGAAUUCCAGGUGUAGCGGUGAAAUGCGUAGAUAUCUGGAGGAACACCGGUGGCGAAGGACGACAUCCUGGACCGGUAUUGACGCUGACGGCGCGAAAGCCAGGGGAGCAAGCGGG